rnacentral:rRNA from 1 species
GGGGAAUAUUGGACAAUGGGCGUAAGCCUGAUCCAGCAAUGCCGCGUGUGUGAAGAAGGCCUUCGGGUUGUAAAGCACUUUAGGCAGGGAAGAAAAAGUUCAAGCUAACAUCUUGAGCCUUGACGGUACCUGAAGAAUAAGCACCGGCUAACUCUGUGCCAGCAGCCGCGGUAAUACAGAGGGUGCAAGCGUUAAUCGGAUUUACUGGGCGUAAAGCGGGUGUAGGUUGUUUGACAAGUCGGUUGUGAAAUCCCCGGGCUCAACCUGGGAACUGCUUCCGAGACUGUCCGACUAGAGUACGGUAGAGGGCGGUGGAAUUUCCGGUGUAGCGGUGAAAUGCGUAGAUAUCGGAAGGAACACCAAUGGCGAAGGCAGCCGCCUGGGCCUGUACUGACACUGAGACACGAAAGCGUGGGGAUCAAA